UACGUAGGGUGCAAGCGUUGUCCGGAAUUAUUGGGCGUAAAGAGCUCGUAGGCGGUCUGUUGCGUCGGCUGUGAAAACCCGGGGCUCAACUCCGGGCCUGCAGCCGAUACGGGCAGACUAGAGUUCGGCAGGGGAGACUGGAAUUCCUGGUGUAGCGGUGGAAUGCGCAGAUAUCAGGAGGAACACCGGUGGCGAAGGCGGGUCUCUGGGCCGAUACUGACGCUGAGAAGCGAAAGCGUGGGGAGCAAACAGG
rnacentral:rRNA from 1 species